GAGGGUAUAGCUCAGUGGUAAGGUGCUUGUCUGGCAUGCACAAGGUCCUGGGUUCAAUCCCCAGUACCUCCA
rnacentral:tRNA from 1 species